rnacentral:misc_RNA from 1 species
CAGGUGAUACCACGAUCUAUUUGGCUUGAUAGCAAUGGUCGGCAACUCGUGCAAUGGCCCAUCAAAGAGUUGAAUACUCUCAGAGGUGAAAAUGCUCAGCUAUCCGACACCAUUUUGACGACGAACAGUGUGGUUGAAGUUCAAGGAAUACAAACUUCAGAGGCUGAUGUUGAGGUUAUGUUUGAGUUGCCAAACCUUGAGAAGGCAGAGUCAUUUGAUCCAUCUUG